rnacentral:lncRNA from 1 species
AGCUCGGAGCCCAGCUUCGCUUCGGCCAUCGCCCCGCCGGACCGCGCUGCGGGUUCGCCCAGGUACCAGGGUCGGGAGCAGGGCAGGGGCAGCCACACGCCGCCACACUCUUUGUUUGGGGCCCCCGCUCAGGUUCCAGAGCCUGGGCGUUCGGGGUCUUGGAACUGGGUUGCAGCCGAGCAGACACCAAACCUGGGCGCGGAGACAGUUGAGGGUGUAGGGACAAGGCGCGGGGGCACCCGGGAAGGGCGCUUGGGAUCCAGGACUGAGGACGACCAGGGGGUCUGCGGCGAUCGGGAGUCUGGGGCUCAGCCAGGUCCUCGGGCCGACGCGGGCCGGAGCUCCGGGGCCGGCAGGGUCCUGGUCGCGGCGCCCGGCGCCUAGCUAGGAGGGCGGGGGCGGAACCACACUAUCGCCGCCCCGGCCCUGCGGACUUUGCUCCCUGAGACAGUUAGGGAAGAGAAGACGGAGGAGCCGCUUGGGGCUGCAAUGAGACUUCUCAGGACUUUACUCCCGCCUUUUCCAGGCAAGUGAGCUGUGUGCCUCUUUUCCUUUCCUUUCGGUUGCUUGGGAGCCAGGGGUCUCAUCCCGCCUUUUCCCACUAUUCGGAGGAGUACGAGUGCAGGCACAGGCCUGGGGGCCACCUGUGGCACGUGUCUCCUGGCACGCGGGCACUGUAGCUGACAAGUAGGAGGGAGGGUCCUGGGCCCCGGGGUUUCUGUGUAGUUCUGUGUUCUGCCCCUGGGGACGUUUGCUUGGAUCGAUUUGAGAGUCUAUGCCGCAAAAAGAGACCCCGAACCCCUUCCUUCCCCAACUGGCAUUCUGGCCGGUGCCAGCAGGUGAUCCCGACUCUCUAGCGUGACUGAACACAAAAAGUUCCCUCCAGGGCUUGGGGCCAGCAGACCGCACUAUCUAGGGUGACCACAACUGAUUGGAACGCCCUCGGCUUUGUCACAGCCCACUCCAAAUUUUGUUUCUUGAGUUGUGCCUUCUGCUCCACUGUAUAGAGCUUCAAAACGACACCCCAAACCAAGAAUACAGGAGCUACUAUAGUAAUAAUGUGUACCCCAUCAGAGCUAACCCUUUUGACAUAUUGAUGUAUUUCCUUGAGGCUUUGGUCUGUUCAUAUGAAUACUUUUUAAAAGUGCUUUUAGUUUUUUGCCUGUUAAAAGAGAUUUUUGACUGUCUUUGUGAUUUUGUUGCUUCCCUCUUUGGGGCCUAUGAGGUUAUAUUUGCAAAUCAAUCAACAAGUAUUAAGAAAGGCUUUUCUGUGCUGAGGACCAGGAAGGGGGCGGGGAUGGCUGCAGCUGGAAGCUGUAGGAGGCUAGGCCAGGACUUGGAGUGUGUGUGUGUGUGUGUGUGUGUGCGUGUGUGUGUUUAUGUGAGGGAAGGGGGGCACAGACAAGGGGGUGCAUUUGCUGGGUCCUGGAGAACUAACUGGGGCAAUUGGUAAGAAGCCAGACCUCCGAUAAAGUCAUGGUGACUGCCCCCCCCCCCCCCAAAGAAUGACAGAGGGCAAUAAGGACCUCUGGCUGAGUGGUACUAAACUCUUUGCCUGUUGUUUAUUUCAUCUCACCCAAUGAUUCUUGGAAGAAAGAGGGAAGUGGGAUUAUCACACCCAUUUUGCAUAUGGGCAAAGAAAUGCCAAGUAUCCUGUUUAUGAAGCUGAAAUGUGGAGGAGUAGCUGGAAUUCUGGGACACAAUGUCUGAGUUCUAUGGCCUGGCUCCUGCAGGCUGGCUGCUGCUGCUGCUUCCCUGGCAAUUGGCUUUGAAUGCUUGUCCAGACAGCAGCAGUUCUUCCACUGAGGGUAGCUCCUCUGCCGAGGCUGCUAAAGCUAUCCGCAGCAGCAGAUGCGAAACCUAACCACUAAGAAGAUAGAAAAAAAAAAGUAGUUGCUUCAGGGAACAUCAUAUGCCUAAAUGCAAAUCGAUUAGCUUUUACAAAGUGUCUCUCUGGCCUGCUGUGUUUUGAAACUGAGCUACUUGCAAAUGUUGACUUCAUAGUUCACAAGAUCAAAUAUGUUACUAUGCUAUAGAAGGUUCCAGGGGAGCUGGUAUACUCGUGGUAUAGCCAAGGCCUGACAAGGAGUCAGCUAGACAAGAAGGUGGAGUGGAAGAUAUCAAAGGAAGAGGGUAUUUGAGUCUGUCUGGCAGUCACAGCUUCUGUCUGCCCAGGAUACAAGGAGCAAUUUUACAGACGAGGAAAAUUACCAACAAAUUUCCAAAGUCUGGGAGCUAGUGGUGUAUCUGCAUGCAGUCUGCCCCUGGAGCCACAUUAUGUUGCUUAGGGUCAGCCUGCUGUUAGCAAUGGAUAUGUUCAGGGGAAGCCUGUUCUGACUCUGUGUUUGAACUUGGAUGUGGGGAACACUGGGGUACUGCUAGCAAAAGUUCUUUAGUUUUUUCUUUCUGAAAGUAAAACACUUUUAUGAGACCAUGCCACCUACCAGGUAGUCCGAGGCAUUGGAUCUAGGCAAAAGGUCGUUAAGAGGUGCACUAACCUGGCCCCUUCUUGUAGGACCCAGAAGCAGGGGAGAACAGGUUGCAUCUUCAUUUCACCUGGAAAGAAACCUGCCAGCAGUGACCUAAUGACACAGAGCAAGCCUCAUCUACUCAGAGCCCCUGCCACCAUUUCUGCUAAAAUAAGUGGAUCAGGCUGGCUGCUUCAGUAGGUAUUGGUUAAGUGUUAGCCACCCUGUGCUUCUCAGAGAGUAGAGCGUGUUCACAGCCAGAGCACAAUUACCCCUAAUACUCACGGUGAAGCCUAUGUAUCCUCAGUGGACUCUCCACAUGGAAAUGGCAUUUAAACUCCUUAGCGUAGGUGAGAAGGAGUAUGUACUGCAUUUCAAAACCCCCGAGGAUUGGCUGUAUCUUUUGGUGGAGCACUUGUGUAGCAUGUGAGAACUCGGAUUCAAUAACCAGGACUUCAGAAGG